rnacentral:rRNA from 1 species
CCUGCGGAGGGAUCAUUACUGAGUUUACGCUCUACAACCCUUUGUGAACAUACCUAUAACUGUUGCUUCGGCGGGUAGGGUCUCCGUGACCCUCCCGGCCUCCCGCCCCCGGGCGGGUCGGCGCCCGCCGGAGGAUAACCAAACUCUGAUUUAACGACGUUUCUUCUGAGUGGUACAAGCAAAUAAUCAAAACUUUUAACAACGGAUCUCUUGGUUCUGGCAUCGAUGAAGAACGCAGCGAAAUGCGAUAAGUAAUGUGAAUUGCAGAAUUCAGUGAAUCAUCGAAUCUUUGAACGCACAUUGCGCCCGCCAGCAUUCUGGCGGGCAUGCCUGUUCGAGCGUCAUUUCAACCCUCAAGCUCUGCUUGGUGUUGGGGCCCUACAGCUGAUGUAGGCCCUCAAAGGUAGUGGCGGACCCUCCCGGAGCCUCCUUUGCGUAGUAACUUUACGUCUCGCACUGGGAUCCGGAGGGACUCUUGCCGUAAAACCCCCAAUUCUCCAAAGGUUGACCUCGGAUCAGGUAGGAAUACCCGCUGAACUUAAGCAUAUCAUAG